UGCGAUGACCUCGGAGGCUUGACUCAGACCAUUGGGUGGAGAACCAGUCCGCGGAGGACUCAGACCGCAAGAGGAGGAGGCGAUUCGAUGGCCCGGAGGAGGAAACGCACA